GUGCUCGCUUUGGCAGCACACAUACUAAAAUUGGAAUAAUAUAGAGAAAAUUAGCAUGGCCCCUGUGCUAGGACAACACGCAAAUUCGUGAAGAGUUCCAUAUUUUU
rnacentral:snRNA from 1 species